rnacentral:rRNA from 1 species
ACGCUGGCGGCGUGCCUAAUACAUGCAAGUCGAGCGAAGUUUUUCUGGUGCUUGCACUAGAAAAACUUAGCGGCGAACGGGUGAGUAACACGUAAAGAACCUGCCUCAUAGACUGGGACAACUAUUGGAAACGAUAGCUAAUACCGGAUAACAGCAUUAACUGCAUGGUUGAUGUUUAAAAGUUGGUUUUGCUAACAUUAUGAGAUGGCUUUGCGGUGCAUUAGCUAGUUGGUGGGGUAAAGGCCUACCAAGGCGACGAUGCAUAGCCGACCUGAGAGGGUGAUCGGCCACACUGGGACUGAGACACGGCCCAGACUCCUACGGGAGGCAGCAGUAGGGAAUCCUCCGCAAUGGGCGAAAGCCUGACGGAGCAACGCCGCGUGAGUGAAGAAGGAUUUCGGUUCGUAAAGCUCUGUUGUUAGGGAAGAAUGAUUGUGUAGUAACUAUACACAGUAGAGACGGUACCUAACCAGAAAGCCACGGCUAACUACGUGCCAGCAGCCGCGGUAUACGUAGGUGGCAAGCGUUGUCCGGAAUUAUUGGGCGUAAAGCGCGCGCAGGUGGUUUAAUAAGUCUGAUGUGAAAGCCCACGGCUCAACCGUGGAGGGUCAUUGGAAACUGUUAAACUUGAGUGCAGGAGAGAAAAGUGGAAUUCCUAGUGUAGCGGUGAAAUGCGUAGAGAUUAGGAGGAACACCAGUGGCGAAGGCGGCUUUUUGGCCUGUAACUGACACUGAGGCGCGAAAGCGUGGGGAGCAAACAGGAUUAGAUACCCUGGUAGUCCACGCCGUAAACGAUGAGUGCUAAGUGUUGGUCUCAUAAGAGAUCAGUGCUGCAGCUAACGCAUUAAGCACUCCGCCUGGGGAGUACGACCGCAAGGUUGAAACUCAAAGGAAUUGACGGGGACCCGC